UGCCCAAUGAAUAAUUUAAUGGCUGCAGUAUUAUGACUGUACUAAGGUAGCAUAAUCAAUAGUUUCUUAAUUAGAAGCUGGAAUGAAAGAAUUAACGAGAAAUUAACUGUCUCUAUUUUUAAAUUAAAAUUUUAUUUUUAAGUUAAAAAGCUUAAAUAAUAUUAAAAGACGAGAAGACCCUUUAGAGUUUUAUAUAAUUUUAGUUUAGUUAUAAAAAUUUUACUAUAAUUAUAUUUUGUUGGGGUGAUAUAAAAAUUUAUAAAACUUUUUUUUUAUUUAAUCAAAUAUGUUUGAAUUUAUGAUCCAUUUUUAUGAUUAAAAGAUUAAAUUACCUUAGGGAUAACAGCGUAAUAUUUUUUUAAAGUUCAAAUUAAAAAAAAUGAUUGCGACCU
rnacentral:rRNA from 1 species